rnacentral:rRNA from 1 species
AGAAUCAACGCUGGCGGCGUGCCUAACACAUGCAAGUCGAACGAGAAAGGGUAGCAAUACCUGAGUAAAGUGGCGCACGGGUGAGUAACACGUGACUAACCUACCUUUUAGUGGGGGGAUAACCUAGGGAAACCUGGGCUAAUACCGCAUAAUACCUACGGGUCAAAGCAGCAAUGCGCUGGAAGAGGGGGUCGCGGCCGAUUAGCUAGUUGGCGGGGUAAUGGCCCACCAAGGCAGUGAUCGGUAUCCGGCCUGAGAGGGCGCACGGACACACUGGAACUGAAACACGGUCCAGACUCCUACGGGAGGCAGCAGUGGGGAAUUUUGCGCAAUGGGGGAAACCCUGACGCAGCAACGCCGCGUGGAGGAUGAAGACCCUUGGGUCGUAAAACUCCUUUCGAUCGGGACGAUAAUGACGGUACCGAAGAAAGAAGCCCCGGCGUAACUUCGCGCCAGCAGCCGC